UGGGGAAUAUUGGACAAUGGGCGAAAGCAUGAUCCAGCCAUGCCGCGUGUGUGAAGAAGGUCUUCGGAUUGUAAAGCACUUUAAGUUGGGAGGAAGGGCAUUAACCUAAUACGUUAGUGUUUUGACGUUACCGACAGAAUAAGCACCGGCUAACUCUGUGCCAGCAGCCGCGGUAAUACAGAGGGUGCAAGCGUUAAUCGGAAUUACUGGGCGUAAAGCGCGCGUAGGUGGUGUGUUAAGUUGGAUGUGAAAUCCCCGGGCUCAACCUGGGAACUGCAUUCAAAACUGACUGACUAGAGUAUGGUAGAGGGUGGUGGAAUUUCCUGUGUAGCGGUGAAAUGCGUAGAUAUAGGAAGGAACACCAGUGGCGAAGGCGACCACCUGGACUAAUACUGACACUGAGGUGCGAAAGCGUGGGGAGCAAACA
rnacentral:rRNA from 1 species